GGGUUGUCAUGCCAAUGGCAUUGCCCGGUAGCUAAAUGCGGAAGAGAUAAGUGCUGAAAGCAUCUAAGCACGAAACUUGCCCCGAGAUGAGUUCUCCCUGAGACUUUAAGUCUCCUGAAGGAACGUUAAAGACGAUGACGUUGAUAGGCCGGGUGUGUAAGCGCAGCGAUGCGUUGAGCUAACCGGUACUAAUGAACCGUGAGGCUUAACCUU
rnacentral:rRNA from 1 species